GGUGUGUAUAUAUACAAAACUGUUAUUAAGAUACAGUUCUGUUCUGGAGAAUAAAAUCACUGCCAUUGAUUACAAGAGACGUAUGUAUAAUUAUGCAUUUUUAUAAUCAUACAUUUGUAAUACUGCUAACCUCAAAGUGUGUUUACAUUGGAGAAUUGAAAAAUGGAGUAUGAAUGUGUGUCGUGCGACAGAAUAUUUAAAAAUAGGAGUUCGUUACUGACGCACUCGCAGAUUCACACAAACAAAAAAAAUUUUGCUUGUGAUAUUUGCGAUAAAAAAUUUACUCAAAGAGGGAACUUAAACGUUCACAAGAAAUCUCAUUUGAAUAAAAAAGAGUUCGAAUGUGCACUUUGUGAUUCUAAGUUCAUCACAAAAUCACAAUUAGAAAAUCAUCAAAACACCCAUACAGGAUUGAAGAAAUUCGAGUGUGAUUUUUGUGGGAAAAAAUUUAACAGAAAAAGUGUGUUAGUUGAUCACAUAAAUGUACACAUGAAUAAUGAGUCGUAUAAAUGUCAAAUCUGUUUAAAAGUGUACAGAUUUAGACAAUAUUUAACGACUCACAUGCGAGUGCAUACCAAUGAAAAGAAAUAUAGUUGUCCUAUUUGUUUGAAAGGAUUUUCAGACAAAAGUAAUUUUAAUCGACACACUAAAAUACAUGUCUAAUUUCAUAUUAAAAAAUAAAUAAAUUUUUUUUCAAAUU
rnacentral:lncRNA from 1 species